rnacentral:rRNA from 1 species
ACUGCCUGAUGGAGGGGGAUAACUACUGGAAACGGUAGCUAAUACCGCAUAACGUCGCAAGACCAAAGAGGGGGACCUUCGGGCCUCUUGCCAUCGGAUGUGCCCAGAUGGGAUUAGCUAGUAGGUGGGGUAACGGCUCACCUAGGCGACGAUCCCUAGCUGGUCUGAGAGGAUGACCAGCCACACUGGAACUGAGACACGGUCCAGACUCCUACGGGAGGCAGCAGUGGGGAAUAUUGCACAAUGGGCGCAAGCCUGAUGCAGCCAUGCCGCGUGUAUGAAGAAGGCCUUCGGGUUGUAAAGUACUUUCAGCGGGGAGGAAGGGAGUAAAGUUAAUACCUUUGCUCAUUGACGUUACCCGCAGAAGAAGCACCGGCUAACUCCGUGCCAGCAGCCGCGGUAAUACGGAGGGUGCAAGCGUUAAUCGGAAUUACUGGGCGUAAAGCGCACGCAGGCGGUUUGUUAAGUCAGAUGUGAAAUCCCCC